rnacentral:lncRNA from 1 species
CGAGUACGGACUCACCGAGGAAGAGGCAAUCCACAAUUUAUUAUUUGUUCUGGCAUUCAACUCGUUCGAAGGAUUUACCCUAUUUAUCCCCAAAUUAUUGACCCGGUUACUCAGCGACUCAACCUUACAAGAGAAGCUUCGGGUCGAAGCGAGGCAGAACGGUGGGACCGAACUGACAUUCACCUCCUUUAAGCAAAUGCCGUUGAUCCAAUCUUUCGUGUACGAGACCCUCAGGCUUGAACCACCGGUUCCAACCCAGUUUGCCCGUGCUAGAAAGGAUUUCACGCUUAGCUCGAGCGAGGCAUCGUAUAAGGUCAAGAAGGGCGAGCUGUUGUGCGGGUACCAACCGUUGGUGAUGCGUGACCCUACUAUUUUCGAC